UUGUUUCUGUAUUCAAAUACUGAUGAAUCGACACUUCCAAAAGAUAUGUAAGUUCAGUCAUCAUCUCUGACUCUAUGCUGUAUAUCAUAAGGUGUUUUAUUUCUCAAGCCACUGUUUGGUCUGUGUACAAUAUGUGCUUCCUCUUUGUAGGUCAUUCAAAUUGAUAGGAUAAUGUAUGAUCAUGCUUUGUAUAGAGCUGACCUCACAUGGAACGUCCUAUCCAUCUUAAACUUCACCCAGGCUUGAUACAAUUGACCCUUUAAUUUCCUAGAAAUUCUCAUCUUUGCAUGUGCAAAUAUUAUUUUAUUUGUCAUACUCUUAUACAUUGAAGUUACAUUUUAUCCCACAGACUGAUGGCCAAAGAAGAUUUGGGAAGUUCCACUAUGUUCCUACAGACUGUUGGCCAAAAAAGAUUUGGGGGAAAAUAGCUCUAGAGAAGGAUUGAGAUGAAAAUGGUAGAAUCAUGGUAGAACUGUUUAUAUUGCUGAUUGAGACGGCGAUUGUGAUUUAUUGCUUUUUACUAAUUUUUUAUCUUUUCUACUUUGCUCAGAUCAUUUAUAUAGGUUGUUCUUUCUUUAGUACCAAUGAAUAACUUGGUUACACGAUAUACUUGAAGACUGUAGUAGGAAUAAAAUGCUU
rnacentral:lncRNA from 1 species